UGGGGAAUAUUGCACAAUGGGCGCAAGCCUGAUGCAGCCAUGCCGCGUGUAUGAAGAAGGCCUUCGGGUUGUAAAGUACUUUCAGCGGGGAGGAAGGCGAUAAGGUUAAUAACCUUGUCGAUUGACGUUACCCGCAGAAGAAGCACCGGCUAACUCCGUGCCAGCAGCCGCGGUAAUACGGAGGGUGCAAGCGUUAAUCGGAAUUACUGUGCGUAAAGCGCACGCAGGCGGUCUGUCAAGUCGGAUGUGAAAUCCCCGGGCUCAACCUGGGAACUGCAUUCGAAACUGGCAGGCUAGAGUCUUGUAGAGGGGGGUAGAAUUCCAGGUGUAGCGGUGAAAUGCGUAGAGAUCUGGAGGAAUACCGGUGGCGAAGGCGGCCCCCUGGACAAAGACUGACGCUCAGGUGCGAAAGCGUGGGGAGCAAACA
rnacentral:rRNA from 1 species